CGUAGGGUGCGAGCGUUAAUCGGAAUUACUGGGCGUAAAGCGUGCGCAGGCGGUUAUAUAAGACAGUUGUGAAAUCCCCGGGCUCAACCUGGGAAUUGCAUUUGUGACUGUAUAGCUAGAGUACGGUAGAGGGGGAUGGAAUUCCGCGUGUAGCAGUGAAAUGCGUAGAUAUGCGGAGGAACACCGAUGGCGAAGGCAAUCCCCCUGGACCUGUACUGACGCUCAUGCACGAAAGCGUGGGGAGCAAACAGGAUUAGAUACCCUGGUAGUCCACGCCCUAAACGAUGUCAACUGGUUGUUGGGUGCAUUAGUACUCAGUAACGAAGCUAACGCGUGAAGUUGACCGCCUGGGGAGUACGGCCGCAAGGUUG
rnacentral:rRNA from 1 species